AGAGAAAUUACUGCCUGUCCUCUCUUCAAGGAUUUUUGUGGUUUCAGGCUUACAUUCAGAUCCUUAAUCCAUUUUAGGUUUGUGUGUGUGUG